rnacentral:rRNA from 1 species
AUUGAACGCUGGCGGCAGGCCUUACACAUGCAAGUCGAACGGUAACAGGAAACAGCUUGCUGUUUCGCUGACGAGUGGCGGACGGGUGAGUAAUGUCUGGGAAACUGCCUGAUGGAGGGGGAUAACUACUGGAAACGGUAGCUAAUACCGCAUAACGUCGCAAGACCAAAGAGGGGGACCUUCGGGCCUCUUGCCAUCGGAUGUGCCCAGAUGGGAUUAGCUAGUAGGUGGGGUAAAGGCUCACCUAGGCGACGAUCCCUAGCUGGUCUGAGAGGAUGACCAGCCACACUGGAACUGAGACACGGUCCAGACUCCUACGGGAGGCAGCAGUGGGGAAUAUUGCACAAUGGGCGCAAGCCUGAUGCAGCCAUGCCGCGUGUAUGAAGAAGGCCUUCGGGUUGUAAAGUACUUUCAGCGGGGAGGAAGGGAGUAAAGUUAAUACCUUUGCUCAUUGACGUUACCCGCAGAAGAAGCACCGGCUAACUCCGUG